rnacentral:lncRNA from 1 species
AUGAAAAUCUAGAUAAACUUUUAAAACAUUUUUGUUGUCUGCUGAUCCUUGUGACAAUGUUGACAGCUUCAAAAGUGUGAUAUUUAACAAGUAUAUUGCUACAUUGGCUUUUUUUAUGCAGUUGUUAGGUCUAUUUCCUUAAAAAAAAAUCAUUGACCACAACCUAAGACCAAAAUAAAAUUGUUAUAAAAAGAUGUAUAUGUGUCAGAUGAACAUUUUAAACAAAAAAUUAUGGUCCUUGCAUGUGGCCAAAAAUCGUUUGAAGC